UUGAAAGCUGUGAUGCAGACAGAUGGAUUCGAGUACUUAAAGGAAAGUUGUCCUUCUGUUAUCACAGAACUUCUACAAUACGUGGGUAGAAUUGGUGAGCAUUCUGUCAUUGCUUGUGGACAUGGAAAUGAAAGCUUGGAUGGUGGUAUGAAUGGAAGGCGAGUGAAGCAAAGGCUACACUGAUUUAGGAAUAACAUAUAGCUCGGCAUUUGAACAAAAACUGGAGCAUAAUUUUGUUCCAGUUUUUGAGAUUGUACUAACAGUUGACUAUUUAAUAGAAAAUUCAAUGGUAGUGGUUAUUUUGUUAUGUUUUCCGGUACCUUGGUUAAAUAAUUUUGUGAAUUUCAAGUUCUCUGUUGCAACUCAACCAUUAGGCCAUUUUUCAAUGUGAAAUGGAAUGGCUGUCGGCUGUCGAGGGGUAGUUACUAUUUGUAUUACGGCAGUGUGCCGUGUAGAUGUCCUUUCUGGGGGAUUUUGCAGUAGGCUGUGGCAGAAUAAAUAUUCCAUUACUCCUGCAAAAUCCCCCAGAAAGGACAUCUAC
rnacentral:misc_RNA from 1 species